rnacentral:rRNA from 1 species
UAGGGAAUUUUCGUCAAUGAGGGAAGCCCAUCGAACGAAGCAAUGCCGACGCUGUGUGAAGAAGGUCAAUUCGGAUCGUUAAAGCACAUGUUGUAAGUGAAGAAUGCCAUAUAGAGGAAAUGCUAUGUGGGUGACGGUAGCUUACCAGAAAGCCACGGCUAACUACGUGCCAGCAGCCGCGGUAAUACGUAGGUGGCAAGCGUUAUCCGGAAUCAUUGGGCGUAAAGGGUGCGUAGGUGGCACGAUAAGUCUGAAGUAAAAGGCAACAGCUCAACUGUUGUAUGCUUUGG